UAGCAGACGUACUGGUCUACCAGGCUUUUAACUGCUUGCAGAGCUGUACCGGUCUACCCAUUUGGCGGCCCUUUGAAGCCCUGCGGCAAGAGUUUAAACAGUUUUUUUUCUUUCUAGACAUCAGCUGGGACUCGGGAGGCAGUGAAUAGAUUGGGGGCGGGGCCAAAUAAAAGGACAUGAGGAAACGGAUUUUGAUAACGGCCAGCAUGGAGAACCCUCUACCAGGAGAACUCUAUCUGGCAUUCAAAGCAACAGGGACAUAUGGAAAUGAAGGUGUCGCAUGUCUUUUGAUACCAGUUUAAUUUAGUUCAAUAUGGACAGUGUCCCGCUGCUGCAACCACAUUCAAGACUGCAUGCAUUCUUUAUAAAAAAUACCAUGCAAAGCACA